rnacentral:rRNA from 1 species
AACGCGAAGAACCUUACCAGCCCUUGACAUGUCCCGUAUGGGGCCGAGAGAUCGGCUUCUUCAGUUCGGCUGGCGGGAACACAGGUGCUGCAUGGCUGUCGUCAGCUCGUGUCGUGAGAUGUUGGGUUAAGUCCCGCAACGAGCGCAACCCUCACCUUCAGUUGCCAUCGGGUAAAGCCGGGCACUCUGGAGGAACUGCCGGUGACAAGCCGGAGGAAGGCGGGGAUGACGUCAAGUCCUCAUGGCCUUUAUGGGCUGGGCUACACACGUGCUACAAUGGCGGUGACAGAGGGAGGCAGAGGGGCGACCCCGAGCCAAUCUCGAAAAGCCGUCUCAGUUCGGAUUGUUCUCUGCAACUCGAGAGCAUGAAGCUGGAAUCGCUAGUAAUCGCGGAUCAGCACGCCGCGGUGAAUACGUUCCCGGGCCUUGUACACACCGCUACAGU